CAAAGUCCUGUAAAGCUUUCUGCAGUGGUAUUUGCUGAAAGUUCUUUCCAUGAAUAUGAUACUGUGCUAAAGUCUUAGUCUGCCUGUAAGGAAGUUCUGCUAUUUUUGCACUUAUUUGGGAGACACUUAUCAAACAAAACAGAAGAAAGUAUAAUAUUGAUGUUUCAUUAUCUAUAGAUUUACUCUUCAUUCUAUUGAAGACAAAUUUGCCUUCUCUCGCUAACAUUUGUCAAUAUCAGAAACAUUGUAUAGAUCAGUGGCCAAUUCUCGAGGUAUUAUCGAAGCUUUCGAAAAUGUAUUUGCGUCGCACAAUCCAGCAUCGACCCUACACGUCGAUUUUUUCCGAUAUCUCGUAGGGUUAGGUUAUAUAACUUGAAAAACAAUGGAUCAUUGAUCACGUAAGAAGAAAUUUUUAUUCGUUCUUCUUCGAAGACAAAAUCGAAAAUUCAAACGCGACGAGUAAAAUCUCGACGACCCGUUGCACUUUGUUAGAUGGAAAAUAAACUUUGUUAUGACGGUACGGCGUAUAUUCACCGGUACUUAUGCUAGGGUACGUAUAGAGUUACAGUCAUAAUCGUAGAUCGUUCGUACUUCUUGGCCGCCAUUUCGCGGCCAAUGUCUUUAGUAGGGCAUCG